GUCUAAGUACAUGCCGUAUUAAGGCGAAACCGCAGAUGGCUCAUUAAAUCAGUUAUGGUUCCUUGGAUCGUACCUUAUUACUUGGAUAAUUGUGGCAAUUCUAGAGUAAAUACAUGCAGCAGAGCUAUGACCCUCUGGGGACGAGCGCUUUUAUUAGAUCAAAACCAAUCGGACCACAUUAUGUGGUGACUUUGUAUAACUUUGGGCUGAUCGCACGGGCUCGUCCCGGCGACGUAUCUUUCAAGUGUCUGCCUUAUCAACUGUCGAUGGUAGUUACGCGCCUACCAUGGUCGUAAAGGAUGACGGGGAAUCAGGGUUCGAUCUCUCAU
rnacentral:ncRNA from 1 species